GUGGGGUGCAGACAAAAGCCCCGACGAGAUCUGAGGUUACCUCAAUGAGAUCCGAGGUGUGGCACAGAUAAAAGUCCUAAUGAGAUUCGAGGUCACCUCGAUGAGAUCCGAGGUAUAGCAACGACAAAAGCCACAACGAGAUCCAAGGUCACCUCAAUGAGAUUCGAGAUACAGCAAUGACAAAAGCCAUGAUGAGAUCUGAGGUCACCUCGAUGAGGUCUAAGGUGCGGCACAGACAAAAGCCUCGAUGAGAUCCGAGGUCGCCUCGACGAGAUCUGAGACGCGG
rnacentral:lncRNA from 1 species